rnacentral:snRNA from 1 species
AUGCUUGCUUUGGUGGCACAUAUACUAACAUUGGAACAAUACAGAGAAGAUUAGCAUGGCGCCUUUGCAAGGAUGACACGCAAAUUUGUAAGGCAUUCCAUAUUUAA